UACGGAGGAUGCAAGCGUUAUCCGGAAUCAUUGGGCGUAAAGCGUGUGCAGGUGGCAGUUCAAGUCUGCUGUGAAAGACUGGGGCUUAACCCUAGAAAGGCAGUGGAAACUGAACAGCUAGAGUGCGGUAGGGGUAGAGGGAAUUCCCGGUGUAGCGGUGAAAUGCGUAGAGAUCGGGAAGAACACCAGUGGCGAAAGCGCUCUGCUGGACCUGCACUGACACUGAGGGACGAAAGCUAGGGGAGCGAAUGGG
rnacentral:rRNA from 1 species